AGAGUUUGAUCAUGGCUCAGAGCGAACGCUGGCGGCAGGCCUAACACAUGCAAGUCGAACGAACUCUUCGGAGUUAGUGGCGGACGGGUGAGUAACACGUGGGAACGUGCCUUUAGGUUCGGAAUAGCUCCUGGAAACGGGUGGUAAUGCCGAAUGUGCCCUUCGGGGGAAAGAUUUAUCGCCUUUAGAGCGGCCCGCGUCUGAUUAGCUAGUUGGUGGGGUAAUGGCCCACCAAGGCUACGAUCAGUAGCUGGUCUGAGAGGAUGACCAGCCACAUUGGGACUGAGACACGGCCCAAACUCCUACGGGAGGCAGCAGUGGGGAAUCUUGCGCAAUGGGCGAAAGCCUGACGCAGCCAUGCCGCGUGUAUGAUGAAGGUCUUAGGAUUGUAAAAUACUUUCACCGGUGAAGAUAAUGACUGUAGCCGGAGAAGAAGCCCCGGCUAACUUCGUGCCAGCAGCCGCGGUAAUACGAAGGGGGCUAGCGUUGCUCAGAAUUACUGGGCGUAAAGGGAGCGUAGGCGGACAUUUAAGUCAGAGGUGAAAUCCCGGAGCUUAACUUCGGAACUGCCUUUGAUACUGGGUGUCUUGAGUGUGAGAGAGGUAUGUGGAACUCCGAGUGUAGAGGUGAAAUUCGUAGAUAUUCGGAAGAACACCAGUGGCGAAGGCGACAUACUGGCUCAUUACUGACGCUGAGGCUCGAAAGCGUGGGGAGCAAACAGGAUUAGAUACCCUGGUAGUCC
rnacentral:rRNA from 1 species